AAACUUUACAAUGCCGGCAACGGCGAUAAGGGGACCUCGAGUGCCAGGUUACAAAUCUGGCUGUCGCGAUGCCUAAAAAGCAUUGCAUAGCAAGGGCCGGGCAAGACCGGUGCCAGCCGCCGCGGUAACACCGGCGGCUCGAGUGGUAACCGUUAUUAUUGGGUCUAAAGGGUCUGUAGCCGGCCGGGUAAGUCUCUUGGGAAAUCCAGCAGCUUAACUGUUGGGCUUUCAGGAGAUACUGCCUGGCUCGAGGCCGGGAGAGGUGAGAGGUACUUCAGGGGUAGGGGUGAAAUCUUGUAAUCCUUGAAGGACCACCAGUGGCGAAGGCGUCUCACCAGAACGGACCUGACGGCAAGGGACGAAAGCUAGGGGCACGAACCGGA
rnacentral:rRNA from 1 species